rnacentral:rRNA from 1 species
UGUUUGAUCCUGGCUCAGAACGAACGCUGGCGGCGUGCCUAACACAUGCAAGUCGAGCGUGAAAGUCCCUUCGGGGGCGAGUAAAGCGGCAGACGGGUGAGUAAUACAUAGGUAAUCUACCUUCGAGCUUGGGAUAACCCUGCGAAAGUGGGGCUAAUACCGGAUAAGACCACACGGCGUAAGUCGCGUGGUAAAAGGUGGCUUAUUUUUUAAAUGAGCUAUCACUUGAGGAUGAGCCUGUGGCCUAUCAGCUUGUUGGUGAGGUAAGAGCUUACCAAGGCUAUGACGGGUAGCUGGUCUGAGAGGACGACCAGCCACACUGGGACUGAGACACGGCCCAGACUCCUACGGGAGGCAGCAGUGGGGAAUAUUGGGCAAUGGGCGCAAGCCUGACCCAGCGACGCCGCGUGGGUGAUGAAGGCCUUCGGGUUGUAAAGCCCUGUCAUGUGGAAAGAACAGUCCCGUGGUGAAUAUCCACGGGAUUUGACGGUACCACAGGAGGAAGCACCGGCUAA